UGGAGGACCUUGCAGAGAAUCUGCUGGCUGCUAAUCCAGAGCUUCAAGGAGCUUACUUUCUAAUAGAGGAAGAUCACCCAUAAAGUGGACCUGGAGAUCCGGAAAGAAGGGAAGAUUGGCAAAGAUGACAAAAAUGGAAAAUCAAGUUUCUUGGAAGGACUGUGAAAGGACAUUGUUAGUGAAGCUGAGAAGUUGUUCAAACAUUCUGGAAAACAAUUUGGAACUAUACCCAACUAAACUGUCCAUAUCUUUUGACCCUGCAAUACCAUGACUAGAGCUAAAAUCCAAAAAGAGCAGAACAGAAGGAAAGGAUGGAUGUGUACAAAAACAUCUAUAGUAUCACUCUUUAGCAAAGAAUUAGAAAUCAAUGGGGUAUCUUUCAAUUGGAGAAUGAUUAAACACAUUAUGGCAUGUUGAUAAUACCA